UUNUGAACUGGGUGACUAGAGUGUGUCAGAGGGAGGUAGAAUUCCACGUGUAGCAGUGAAAUGCGUAGAGAUGUGGAGGAAUACCGAUGGCGAAGGCAGCCUCCUGGGAUAACACUGACGUUCAUGCUCGAAAGCGUGGGUAGCAAACAGGAUUAGAUACCCUGGUAGUCCACGCCCUAAACGAUGUCAAUUAGCUGUUGGGCAACUUGAUUGCUUAGUAGCGUAGCUAACGCGUGAAAUUGACCGCCUGGGGAGUACGGUCGCAAGAUUAAAACUCAAAGGAAUUGACGGGGACCCGCACAAGCGGUGGAUGAUGUGGAUUAAUUCGAUGCAACGCGAAGAACCUUACCUGGUCUUGACAUGUACGGAAUCCUCCAGAGACGGAGGAGUGCCUUCGGGAGCCGUAACACAGGUGCUGCAUGGCUGUCGUCAGCUCGUGUCGUGAGAUGUUGGGUUAAGUCCCGCAACGAGCGCAACCCUUGUCAUUAGUUGCCAUCAUUUAGUUGGGCACUCUAAUGAGACUGCCGGUGACAAGCCGGAGGAAGGUGGGGAUGACGUCAAGUCCUCAUGGCCCUUAUGACCAGGGCUUCACACGUCAUACAAUGGUCGGUACAGAGGGUAGCCAAGCCGCGAGGUGGAGCCAAUCUCACAAAACCGAUCGUAGACCGGAUUGCACUCUGCAACUCGAGUGCAUGAAGUCGGAAUCGCUAGUAAUCGCAGGUCAGCAUACUGCGGUGAAUACGUUCCCGGGUCUUGUACACACCGCCCGUCACACCAUGGGAGUGGGGGAUACCAGAAGUAGGUAGGGUAACCGCAAGGAGCCCGCUUA
rnacentral:rRNA from 1 species